rnacentral:rRNA from 1 species
ACUUGUUGGGUGACUGCGUACCUUUUGUAUAAUGGGUCAGCGACUUAAUUUUAGUAGCAAGGUUAACCGUAUAGGGGAGCCGUAGGGAAACCGAGUCUUAACUGGGCGUCGAGUUGCUAGGAUUAGACCCGAAACCAGGUGAUCUAGCCAUGGGCAGGUUGAAGGUUGAGUAACAUCAACUGGAGGACCGAACCGACUAAUGUUGAAAAAUUAGCGGAUGACUUGUGGCUAGGGGUGAAAGGCCAAUCAAACCUGGAGAUAGCUGGUUCUCCCCGAAAGCUAUUUAGGUAGCGCCUCGGACGAAUACCACUGGGGGUAGAGCACUGUUAAGGCUAGGGGGUCAUCCCGACUUACCAACCCUUUGCAAACUCCGAAUACCAGUGAGUACUAUCCGGGAGACACACGGCGGGUGCUAACGUCCGUCGUGGAGAGGGAAACAACCCAGACCGCCAGCUAAGGUCCCAAAGUAUAGCUAAGUGGGAAACGAUGUGGGAAGGCUUAGACAGCUAGGAUGUUGGCUUAGAAGCAGCCAUCAUUUAAAGAAAGCGUAAUAGCUCACUAGUCGAGUCGGCCUGCGCGGAAGAUGUAACGGGGCUAAGCUAUACACCGAAGCUGCGGCAAUGACUUUUAGUCAUUGGGUAGGGGAGCGUUCUGUAAGCCGCUGAAGGUGGACUGUAAGGUCUGCUGGAGGUAUCAGAAGUGCGAAUGCUGACAUGAGUAACGAUAAAGGGGGUGAAAAACCCCCUCGCCGGAAGACCAAGGGUUCCUGUCCAACGUUAAUCGGGGCAGGGUAAGUCGACCCCUAAGGCGAGGCCGAAAGGCGUAGUCGAUGGGAAACGGGUUAAUAUUCCCGUACUUCUUACAAUUGCGAUGGGGGGACGGAGAAGGCUAAGUGGGCCUGGCGACGGUUGUCCAGGUUUAAGUAUGUAGGCUGAUUUCUUAGGUAAAUCCGGGAAAUCAUUAGGCUGAGAUACGAUGUCGAGCUACUACGGUAGUGAAGUCACUGAUGCCAUGCUUCCAGGAAAAGCCUCUAAGCUUCAGAUUGUAAGGAAUCGUACCCCAAACCGACACAGGUGGUCGGGUAGAGAAUACCAAGGCGCUUGAGAGAACUCGGGUGAAGGAACUAGGCAAAAUGGUACCGUAACUUCGGGAGAAGGUACGCUCUCGACGGUGAAGUCCCUCGCGGAUGGAGCUAUUGGGAGUCGCAGAUACCAGGUGGCUGCAACUGUUUAUUAAAAACACAGCACUGUGCAAAAUCGUAAGAUGACGUAUACGGUGUGACGCCUGCCCGGUGCCGGAAGGUUA